CCGCGCCCGCUACCUGAGAGUUACGGCUUUCUGGUCUGUGCGAAUUGAACCUGGUCGUGCCGCUGACCUUUGGUCACCGCCAUGCGCACCCUGGAUACCGCCGGUCUAAAGCGUCCGUGUAGGUCCAGCGCAGUUUGCUCGCUGAAGAUUCGGCGGGCCGACGUAGAUAGCACGACAGGUCG
rnacentral:sRNA from 1 species